AACGAACGCUGGCGGCAGGCCUAACACAUGCAAGUCGAGCGAGGUAGCAAUACCUAGCGGCGGAUGGGUGAGUAACGCGUGGGAACGUGCCCUUUGCUUCGGAAUAGCCCCGGGAAACUGGGAGUAAUACCGGAUAAGCCCUACGGGGGAAAGAUUUAUGGGCGAAGGAUCGGCCCGCGUUGGAUUAGGUGGUUGGUGGGGUAAUGGCCUACCAAGCCGACGAUCCAUAGCUGGUUUGAGAGGAUGAUCAGCCACACUGGGACUGAGACACGGCCCAGACUCCUACGGGAGGCAGCAGUGGGGAAUCUUAGACAAUGGGCGCAAGCCUGAUCUAGCCAUGCCGCGUGAGCGAUGAAGGCCUUAGGGUUGUAAAGCUCUUUCAGUGGGGAAGAUAAUGACUGUACCCACAGAAGAAGCCCCGGCUAACUCCGUGCCAGCCGCCGCCGUAACAC
rnacentral:rRNA from 1 species